AUUCCUAAGUCAAGUCUUUGCUGUUACCGUCAAUAACUGCUAACUCAGAGGAUACAACCUUAGUAAUUCAUUUCCUUAAUGGCCAGUUUCACAAAGAGGCUGCAGGAAGCUGCUUCCAGCAGGCUGAGUCCUGAGGAGGAGACGAUAACAGUGGGAGAAGCACCUGGUAACAGCGGCACUUCAUCCAGGAAGAAAACAGGAUCUAAAAUAUAAACAACAUCCUUACAACACAAAAUAUGAGCAUCUAUCAUGGACCAACCAAUAACUGCAAUAAAAGUGUGAUAAAUGCUGUAUCCCCUGGCAGAUGAUGAGUAUCUUCAAGAUGGUGCCCAAAGGAGAGAGAGAAUAAACUUGAACAUUCUGACUUUAAAGCACACUGCAUUGCCUCACAGCUAAAUUCCCAUUGGAUUGUUGGUCUGAAUCACCGAAUGAAAAAUCAAAUGUCUUCAGGGACCCGGCAGGAUCCCGAAGGACGCCGCUCUAAGCCAGAGGGAGUGGUGUGUGUUGUGGCUGAAGUGGAAAAUACAAGCCCAGUUUAAAGGCAUUCAAACAUGAAUUGUUUUUUUUAAAGCCAUGCGAGCCAAGCAAAACAUGUCAGCAGUUCUUAUUAGGCUAACAGGUUGCUGGUUUGUGACCCUUGGACCGAUCCUCGAUCAGGUUGGGCAAGGGAAACGAUGAUAUGCUGAGAAUGGAAACCAGACCGCCCAUUGGUCUCCCCCUCCGGCCCCGGUUCGCUUCUUUGGGAACAUCUUAGAUGGCUGCAUGGAGAAACAUGGACCUUUGGCCUGUUUUUUCCUCCGAGCUCUGCCACCUAGUCUUGGUAUGAUUUCAAGCAAAUAAACUAACCUCUAUGAGCUUCCGAUUUUUCAUCCUUUAAAACUGAGAUUUACUUAUCUCACAUUUAUUGGUCCAUGGUGUGCGUCAGGAGCUGCACUGGUCUUGGCUUAUCUCAGGAAAUGGCAACUCCAUACUUCCACUUGCUCAGAGAAAAACCUUUAGUGUGCUCCUUGAUUCUUCUCUUGUUAUUACACCUAUGACCAAUCUGUCAGCACAACCUGCUGUCUCUGUAUGCAGUAAGCAUCCGGAAUCUGAACAAUUCUCAUUUCGAUCACUAAUGAAACCGUGCCCCAAAGAGUUAAAAAAAAAUGACUAGCAAAUAUUCUUGAGUUUGCAGGAUGGCAGAGAAGGAAAAGAAAAACAACUUGCCGAAAGGCUGAAACUCCUUCUGCUUGCAAGAUGUCAAAACUGACUAAAAUUGGCUAAAACCAAUUUGGCCAGCUAGAGUCUGCACACAGAACCAGCUUGUUGACAUCACAACCCAAAUUUCCACUGCAUGUUUUAUACUAAUUCCACCCUCAAAUUUACACAUACAAUCUAUGGGGUAGCAUGAAGAAGUGCAUGUGCUAGAAGACUUUCCAGACCUCCCCUUUGCUUCUACCCAUCAUAGAUGAAUCCCAGAAUCCACUUUGUAAACCUUUUGUAAUAAAAUGACUGCCGUAAAACCAGCAUGAGGAGACAGAUUUGAGCUAAACUCCUGUCUCCUUGAAAAGCUCAAUGAAAAGCUUUUCUUUUCUCAAAAACCCAAUGUCAUAUUUUUGGUUUCUAGUGCAUCGGGCAGCAAGUCCUUGGACUCUGUAACACUAACACCUAAGCUCCAGCCUCCAUGGUAGCUGACGUGGAUUACGGCAAUAGCCUCCUUACGUGGUCUCCCAGGUCCUUGAGUUUGUUCUCAACCCAGCAGCCAUAGAGACCCUGUUAAAUAAGUGAGACCAUGACAUUCUUCAUGCUUUCUCCUUUCACAGAAAAAAAAAAA